AUUGAACGCUGGCGGCAGGCCUAACACAUGCAAGUCGAGCGGAUGAAGGGAGCUUGCUCCUGGAUUCAGCGGCGGACGGGUGAGUAAUGCCUAGGAAUCUGCCUGGUAGUGGGGGAUAACGUCCGGAAACGGGCGCUAAUACCGCAUACGUCCUGAGGGAGAAAGUGGGGGAUCUUCGGACCUCACGCUAUCAGAUGAGCCUAGGUCGGAUUAGCUAGUUGGUGGGGUAAAGGCCUACCAAGGCGACGAUCCGUAACUGGUCUGAGAGGAUGAUCAGUCACACUGGAACUGAGACACGGUCCAGACUCCUACGGGAGGCAGCAGUGGGGAGUAUUGGACAAUGGGCGAAAGCCUGAUCCAGCCAUGCCGCGUGUGUGAAGAAGGUCUUCGGAUUGUAAAGCACCUUAAGUUGGGAGGAAGGGCAGUAAGUUAAUACCUUGCUGUUUUGACGUUACCAACAGAAUAAGCACCGGCUAACUUCGUG
rnacentral:rRNA from 1 species